UUGAUAAGUUGGAUGUGAAAUCCCAUGGCUUAACCAUGGAACUGCAUCCAAAACUGUCAGACUAGAAUGAGGGAGAGGUCAGUGGAAUUAGUGGUGUAGGGGUAAAAUCCGUAGAGAUCACUAGGAAUACUCAUUGCGAAGGCGACUGACUGGAACUUUAUUGACGCUGAGGCGUGAAAGCGUGGGGAGCAAACAGGAUUAGAUACCCUGGUAGUCCACGCCCUAAACGAUGUACACUAGUUGUUGGGAUGCAAGUCAUUCCAGUGAUGCAGUUAACACAUUAAGUGUACCGCCUGGGGAGUACGGUCGCAAGAUUAAAACUCAAAGGAAUAGACGGGGACCCGCACAAGUGGUGGAGCAUGUGGUUUAAUUCGAAGAUACGCGAAGAACCUUACCUGGGCUUGACAUCCCGAGAAUCACCCAGAGAUGGGUGAGUGCCAGUUUACUGGAGCUCGGUGACAGGUGCUGCACGGCUGUCGUCAGCUCGUGUCGUGAGAUGUUGGGUUAAGUCCCGCAACGAGCGCAACCCUCGUCCUUAGUUGCUAACAGUUAGGCUGAGCACUCUAAGGAGACUGCCUUCGUAAGGAGGAGGAAGGUGAGGACGACGUCAAGUCAUCAUGGCCCUUAUGCCCAGGGCGACACACGUGCUAC
rnacentral:rRNA from 1 species